UGCUAGGCCAUGGUAACACAUGCUUGUUUCCGCUUCACCUUCCGCUAUGAUGGUUUGCUGAGCUCUUUCAUGGAUUUGAAGUGUGUCCCUAAGGGGUCAAGUUUUGCUGGGGAAUGCAAUGACUCUGACUCUGUAAAACAAACUGAGAAGAUUUAAGAUUCUCACAGGUAUUCUGAGGAGCGCAGAAGUGAGAGGAGAAGAGAAAAGAAAGGAGUCUGCAAGAUGAAGACUGAGGACUCAUUCCCAUGAAGACCACAAACUUUCAUUGUUGAGGAGGGAGGUGGGUGAAGAAUAUUUUGCAACUCGGGAUGGAUCAAUAUACAGUUUGAGGGUUUUAUAUUUCAGGAAUGUGAAUAACUUCUUUCAUGCCACCCUACUUCCAGCUUCUGUAACAUUUAUAAUAUGCAAUGUGCAUGAAUGUUAUGAAUAGGUUUACGGUGGAAAUCAUAGAAGGGUCUACAUUUCUCAUUUGAGUUGAAACAGUGUAGAUCCCAGAGAGCAGCCCAGAAGCAGAGGCCAGGAACCAAAGGGGACCAGAGAACAGAAGUUGCCAAGAUCUCCGAAAAAUCUCGGCCAUGGUUUGAGCAUGGUUCCUCAGCAGACACCUAUCUUAUGUCUUCAUAGUAAUGAAAGCCAUUCUGGUUUCGUAUCUGGGCAUGAUUCGGUAAGGCAUGAUAAGCCUGGUUCCGAAGUUCUGUACCUGUCCCAGCUGGGUCAGGUCUAUUUUUGUGGUAGAAUCACCUACAGUUAAGAGAAUCCUUGGCUUGGAGGUUUUCUUCUUUUUUUUUUGAGACAGGGUCUUGCACUGUCGCCCAGGCUGGG
rnacentral:lncRNA from 10 species